rnacentral:lncRNA from 1 species
GAUCCCCCUGCUUCUCUCUACCUUCUUAGUGCUGGAAUCACAGGUGUGCACCACCACCCAGCUAUAUUUUGCUCUUUAAACUGGCUAGAAAUGCUGGUGGUGCUCAUUUUGAGGGCCAUGCAGUGCUGUUUUUAAGAGAAUAUAAAAAAGAAUACAGCUCUAGGCUUUUGGUCCCUCCUCCUCUGAAGUUAUUUCCCCCUUUAAGGAACACACAAUUUCACUUCAGCAAAACACCAGAUCUAAGCAGUACUGUCUGCUUCUGAGUACAGAAAAGCCCCCCUGCCCCCAGACAAACAUGUUUUAUGUAUCAUUUGUUAAAUAAUGCUGAACUUAUUCCUAUGAUCCUAUUAAUUUAUUUAUUUUUCUUUCUCUUGUUUUUCUUUCUCUUUUCUUCUAUGGUCCCUUCCCUAAUAGUCUCAGCCAUUAGUAUUUUACUUUAAGUAAUGGCAGAGGUCAGAAAGCUGUAUACCACUGAAUCCCACUGAAAUGCUUGUAAACAUACUGUUGAAUCAGUGCUGAUAAAAACCUGGAACCCUUGUACAUGGGUGGGGAUCAUGGGGGUGGGGCAGAAGGGAAGUUCUAGAAUUUCACACAAGUUGGAUAUUGUGUAAGUUUACUUUAUGGUCUGCUCAGCAGUUGAGUUUUCUGUUUCUGUUUUUGUUUUAAAUGUGAUACUUAUCAGAUGCCCCCUCCCACCCCGUCCAUGACAGGACUAAAGUGGGUCAGACACUGUUACCCUGUGUUUUUCAUGGGAGACUUGAAAACUUACAAAUUGAUGGAUUUUAGUAAAUUUAUUCAUUAACCAUUGUUUCUUUGUCAAGCAUAUAUCCAUGCCUAAUGGAAAAAUGCUUUUGUCAGAAAAUGACCCCUCUAUGCCUCCAAAAAGUUAUUUAUACGAUAACUUGGUUGAGGACGAGACUCAUUCACCCCCACUCACACACCCUUUUGCAUUUCCUGAGAACGUAGACUGCUAUAUCUUUCUAGGUCUAGAACAACCAAGUGCUCAUUAAAUACUAGAAGAAUCAUACUCAAUAAAUACUGAUUUUCUUUUUCAUGUCAACGGUGGUAUGAGACUGUGGGGAAAAGAAUGUUAACAAGACAGGAAUGGGCCUACGGUCAUGGAACUUAAGGAGCACUGUUGAGGGUAAAGACAAAAUAAAGCCCUACAAACAAAACCUUCAAAGUCAGAUAAGCGUUACAGGAAAGUAGAGCACUAGGGUCAGGUUGUAGCAGGAGGGAGGGUGUUUACUGAGUACAAGUGGAAAGGCUACCACAGCGGUCAAUAUUGUAAACUGAAUUUCCACAGGCAGCCAAUUUUUUUUUCAGUUUAAAAUUACUUUCAUAAUUAUGAAAGCCUGUUCUCAGUUAACAGGCUGUACUCUAGAAUUGUAGGCUUUGUUACAAGCUCAUUGGGAAUUUUCCAUUCAAUCUAAGUAAAACUCGAUGCUUAACCUCAGCCUGUGAACCCCUGCGUUCAGUGAUGCUUCUCACUUCCUUUUCCUAUCUGAUGUACUUUUGUUCUACCUUUGUGAUUUCCUAGGUACCCGAAUAAGGCACACUUUACUGUCCCAUUCUCUGCUUCUUGGACUAUUCUUUAUCCUGCUCUUACUACCGCGUUUACUCUUUUCUUCUGAAAUGGGUAGAAAAGUUUGAUGACUUCCACCCCUAUUCAAAAUGCAUUCUUUCAACUCUUUUCUGUCUCAGCACUUUAUUUUCUGUAUAGUGUGUGUCAUGCCGUGGUGUGAUGUUACUGCUUGCUCACUGGGCUUUAGUACCUGCUGGGUGUGGGAACCUGACCAUGCCUGUCUUGUAUAGUAGGCACAUUUGACACUUAGAACUUUCCUUUCAUAAACAGUACCUUGACUCGUGUGUUUCUAGGCAAUCAGCAAUAACUUUUACUUUGCUGGGUUAUUUUUAACUUUUAUUUUUUUAUGAUUUUAAUUUCUUCUGUAGUAAGGAACGAUUUUCUGCCUACCUUGUUGGACAUAGGCCUGACCACACACAAUAUUUGUAAUGUCUUCCAAACUUCCAUUCUCACACUCUUUAUUCUUCCUCUUCUAAGCUCCCAUUUGCUGCUCCUUUGGUGUACGUUAGCUUUCCUUUGGUAAAAUUCAGAUACCCAUGGUCUGUAGUUGUUUUCCCAUUAGCACUGGGUGCUCUCCCAUGGGGUUGAAGAAGGAAAGGUGGAGAUGACCUGGAACAGUGUCAGCAACUUCUGACUGUUGGCAUAGGUUGAAAGUAAAGCAGUCAUCAGUGUGUCUGGGAUACUUGCGCCUGAAUUCACAUUUACAGUGCUGUUACUGGAAGCUGUACAGAGAGACAAAGUUGCUAGAUUGAAAUGUUCAAAAAACUCAUUACCUUUUAAAAAUGUAUGGUUGACAUAAUGGCUAGGUCAGAAACAAAUUCUCAACAAUGUAUUUUUCUAAUGAACCCAUAAAAGGUUAAGAGAAAUUAGGUCAUGAGGGGAAAAUCUUAAAAGGAAAGUAUCAGUUUGUCAGCUCGUCCUGCCAAAUACUUAAACUUAAAACCAUUAGGAUCAGCUGCUUGUAGCUAUCAGCUAAAAUAGGCUAGUGCCCUCUGUGUACUGCCUUUAACAAAAUAACAAACAAUGUGAGGAUGGAACAGAUUGAGCCAACACAAUAAAAAUGGAACCAGCUCAACUUUUAUUUCUCUUUCAAGAGGAAUUCCAUAAGAGCUGACUAUAGAAUGUCAAAUAUU